AAGUCGUAACAAGGUCUCCGUAGGUGAACCUGCGGAGGGAUCAUUACAAGUGACCCCCGCUCCGGCGGGAUGUUCAUAACCCUUGUUGUCCGACUCUGUUGCCUCCGGGCGACCCUGCCUUUUCACGGCGGGGCCCGGUGGACACAUCAAACUCUUGCGUAACUUUGCAGUCUGAGUAAAUUUAAUUAAUAAAUUAAAACUUCAACAACGGAUCUCUUGGUUCUGGCAUCGAUGAAGAACGCAGCGAAAUGCGAUAAGUAAUGUGAAUUGCAGAAUUCAGUGAUCAUCGAAUCUUGAACGCACAUUGCGCCCCCUGGUAUUCCGGGGGGCAUGCCUGUUCGAGCGUCAUUUCACCACUCAAGCCUCGCUUGGUAUUGGCGACGCGGUCCGCCGCGCGCUCAAAUCGACGGCUGGGUCUUCUGUCCCCCAGCGUUGUGGAAACUAUUCGCUAAAGGGUGCCACGGAGGCCACGCCGAAAACAAACCAUUUCUAAGGUUGACCUCGGAUCAGGUAGGGAUACCCGCUGAACUUAA
rnacentral:rRNA from 1 species